rnacentral:tRNA from 1 species
GUAGGCAUAGUUUACUAAAAACACUAGAUUGUGGACCUAGAGACAGGGCUUAAAAACCCUUGCCAACC